rnacentral:rRNA from 1 species
GGGAAUCUUCCACAAUGGACGCAAGUCUGAUGGAGCAACGCCGCGUGAGUGAAGAAGGUUUUCGGACCGUAAAGCUCUGUUGUUGGUGAAGAAGGAUAGAGGUAGUAACUGGCCUUUAUUUGACGGUAAUCAACCAGAAAGUCACGGCUAACUACGUGCCAGCAGCCGCGGUAAUACGUAGGUGGCAAGCGUUGUCCGGAUUUAUUGGGCGUAAAGCGAGCGCAGGCGGAAGAAUAAGUCUGAUGUGAAAGCCCUCGGCUUAACCGAGGAAUUGCAUCGGAAACUGUUUUUCUUGAGUGCAGAAGAGGAGAGUAGAACUCCAUGUGUAGCGGUGGAAUGCGUAGAUAUAUGGAAGAAUACCAGUGGCGAAGGCGGCUCUCUGGUCUGCAACUGACGCUGAGGCUCGAAAGCAUGGGUAGCGAACAGGAUUAGAUACCCUGGUAGUCCAUGCCGUAAACGAUGAGUGCUAAGUGUU